CCUACGGGAGGCAGCAGUGAGGAAUAUUGGUCAAUGGAGGCAACUCUGAACCAGUCAAGUAGCGUGCAGGAUGACUGCCCUAUGGGUUGUAAACUGCUUUUAUGAAGGGAUAAACUGAGUCACGUGUGGCUUAUUGCAGGUACUGCAUGAAUAAGGACCGGCUAAUUCCGUGCCAGCAGCCGCGGUAAUACGGAAGGUCCGGGCGUUAUCCGGAUUUAUUGGGUUUAAAGGGAGCGCAGGCCGCCCCUUAAGCGUGUUGUGAAAUGUCGCGGCUCAACCGUAGCAUUGCAGCGCGUACUGGGAGGCUUGAGUACGGCUGAGGUAGGCGGAAUUCGUGGUGUAGCGGUGAAAUGCUUAGAUAUCACGAAGAACUCCGAUUGCGAAGGCAGCCUACCAUAGCGUUACUGACACUGAGGCUCGAAGGUGCGGGUAUCGAACAGGAUUAGAUACCCGGGUAGUC
rnacentral:rRNA from 1 species